CCCAGCUGUUGGAGCAGGUGAGGAGGCAGCGCUGCUUCCCCAUGGCGGGGUCAGGCGGAGGCACCGGGGGGCUUUGCAGCGGCUGGGAUGCGGCCUCAGCCUUUCCCACGCUGGCAUGAAGUACAGGAAGCCAUCCUUACACCUCCAUCUUCCGUGCCCAAAUGCAUGGAGAAGGAGAUCAACACGGAUGAGGAGAGUGAGGAAGAAGAGACGGUGCAAACAGCAGGGAGCAGCCAGGGAGGUGCUGAGCUUGAGCAAUCAGUGGACAUCCACUCAGUGCUGUGAUGGCACAGCAGGCGGGGGGCUGGUGGUACGUGUCCCAGCACAGUGCUGCCAUGCACAUCUGCUGCCUUUGGGACAGGAGUGAAAGUUGGACCAGAACUACGUACCAUGGACCAAAGGCAUUUAUCAUUUCCAUCCAAAAACAAUCAGGGGAUGUAAAAGCUGUGCCUGUCUUUGUGCAGGUGAUACAAGGGCUGUGAAGUAAGAACUGUGAGGAUGUUUGCUGCAGCCUGCAAGUGGGGAACAGCCCUGCUGGGGUAAAGGACUGAUGGCGAGUGACAGGGAGCAGCCUGCAUGUCUCCACAUGGCUGUGCAUCGGGAUGGCGCCUGGCCUGCUCUGACCGCACUGCAGCCCCAGCACACCCACGACCCCAAGGUCCCGACAGCAUCAGAGCACUGGGGCUGUGGGGCUGGGCUGGUGGUGAGCUCUCCCCCAGCUCCGGGGCUGCAUUGCAGAGCGAUGACCCCGCUGGGAUGAACAGCCAUCAUGUCUCAUUGCCUUGGAAACAGAGCAACAGCUCUGCGAAUCCAUCCUUCCUCCUCCUUCUCCGAGCUGAGCCCUACGGUGAGCCCUAUGGGAAGGGGCUGGGAGCUUGGGGGCUGUGAACUCUGCUGCACUGGCCUUGUCCUUGCUUCCUCCUGCCUGGGCAUAAGGAGAAGUCACUAAUUAAACUCAUUACACUCAAAUUAGCGUGCAGAGUGCUGGGGUCCUCUUCUGUCCCUGCUGCUGCUGCUGCGGUGAGAGCGGUGGCAGUGGGCAAGGAAAAGCCCUAGAGCAGGGACACUGACCUCUCCAAGCUGCCUCUCCACCAGUACUUUGGGAUUGACCUGAUGUCCCAGCAGGGAGAGCAGCA
rnacentral:lncRNA from 1 species